rnacentral:rRNA from 1 species
GUAGGGAAUCUUGCGCAAUGGGCGAAAGCCUGACGCAGCCAUGCCGCGUGAAUGAUGAAGGUCUUAGGAUUGUAAAAUUCUUUCACCGGGGACGAUAAUGACGGUACCCGGAGAAGAAGCCCCGGCUAACUUCGUGCCAGCAGCCGCGGUAAUACGAAGGGGGCUAGCGUUGCUCGGAAUUACUGGGCGUAAAGGGAGCGUAGGCGGAUAGUUUAGUCAGAGGUGAAAGCCCAGGGCUCAACCUUGGAAUUGCCUUUGAUACUGGCUAUCUUGAGUAUGGAAGAGGUAUGUGGAACUCCGAGUGUAGAGGUGAAAUUCGUAGAUAUUCGGAAGAACACCAGUGGCGAAGGCGGCUUCCUGGACAGUAACUGACGCUGAGACGCGAAAGCGUGGGGAGCAAACAGGAUUAGAAACCCGGGUAGUCC